UGUAAAUAAUGUGAAUAAUUCCUCAUCUCUUAAAUAUAGAACUGAAGAAGUCUGAUAUCAUAGCAAGGUUAAAAACUAGGUGGUGCUGCUCGGAUUUUACAAAUCAAAGAAUGUGUCUCAGUGAUGGUGGGACCAAGUAUAUUAGAAAUCUCAACUGAGACAGGUAUGUUGGUGCCAAAGACAUUGAAAUGGUACGGGGUGGAUGGGAGGGUGCAAUUCACAGGAAUGUUACAGGUGUUUAACAUUUAUGUUACGAAAGGAAAGCAGAAGUGAAUUAGAGAGGUUUUAGAGUCUGAGCUCAAGAAAUGAAUUAUGCAUGGCUGAUUGGGACUGCGAAGUUAUAACAUCAAACAAAAGUAAAAAAAAAGUAAGAAAAUAACCAGGUAAUAACUGUCACAGUUUAAUUAGAAAAUACUAUAAUCUUUUGAUUCCACUUAUGGCCAAUACAGAUAGUAAUCUCCAUUUAGCACUGUGGUUCAUUAUAUCUGUCAAUUUGCCCCUUGCAUGACUGCUUGGCCAUUAUGGUUCUUCUGUAAUGGUUUUGGAUGGUUUGUUUGCUCGACACAGCUCAUUGUGUUGUACUGUUUUUCUAAAAUAGGGCCAUUUUCCUGUUCCUUCAUGGUUGAAUGAUGCUCUGAAAAUAUAUCUGUUACUGGACCAAUUUAGACAUUUCCUCCAAUUUUUGUAGAUUGUUUAUUUUUUUUCAUUCUCUCCUGAAUAUCAAACAAUGAUUUUUUUGUUUGUUCAUAUAUAUAUUUUUAACUUAGAACAAGACAGAAUUAAUUUGAGCUUGUGAAUUCUUCAAAGAAACUGAUGGUUUUUAACCAUAAAAUCAAAAUUGCUUCCUGUUAGUUUUUUUCAAUUAGAUUUCCAAAAAUAAACCUUGGUGGAUUUUUAUCAGUUUGGAAAAAAGUUUUGCAAAUAAAAAUCAAAUCAAGAAAGCUGAAGGAACAAAAACAUAAAAUAAAUUUACAAAGAACAAUGUUUCUUUCAAGGAACACACACACACACACACACACACACACACACACACACACACACACACACACAUUCUCUCAAUCAUACUCUAAAGAAUUGAAGGCUGAGCCCAUAGCUUUCUAUAUCUGAAGAAUAAUAUAUGUAUUGACCUUUCUAAAUUAAAGAGUAAGAAGUCUUUAGUGAUAGCAGGGAGAGAGAGAGAGUAACAGCCAGAUAUCAAUGGAAUUCGGUUAGUCUGGUAUGGUACCAUGCUUCACUGUAUGUAAGAUAUUUGUAGAAAACGCUGACUGAAUCAAAACCUGGGUGAAUCUGUGGCAGAGAUGAAUUCCAUAAGUGUAAGAUGAAUGGAGAGAUUUUUGGAGAAAGGAAGUAAGGGUUACAUAUUUAAUUGAAAGUGGCUUUGAGGGGGCCAGUUUGUGGAAGGUGAGUUGGAAAUCAUAGUGAGAGCUGAAGACAGGAGACAAAGGAAAGGGUCCAGAGAGCAAUAUAAAGGUUUCACAAUGUUGGUGUGUGUUUGUGUAUGUGUAUAGUAUGUAAGGGAGCAGUCUGCUGGAAUAUUUUUAACAUUUGAGAAAGGGAUUCCAUUCCAAGGCCUGGCAUUAUAGAUGGAUAGUAUUUAUGAUGUGUUGAGCACUAAUUUACAGUCAAUUAAUGAACUCGUUGUGAGUGUUUUAAAUUGCUGUAGUUCGGUCAUGAUGUCUGAAUGGUCAUCUAGUGGUUCAGUUUCAAAUCACUGCUACAAACUGAUACAUUUUUUCUGAAACAGAAACAAAGGUUCUUGUCAAACAGAUUUGGCAAAGUUAAGAAAGAUUUAGCAAUGAGGAAUUAUUUAUAAUUCCUGAUAUGAGAGAAUUUUAGCAAUGAGCCACUGUUAUUUAUAAUUCUUGACAUGUCUACAGUUAGUUAUUCCUGAUACAUCUUCACAUUGACAUAGGAAUAGCUGUGUGGUUAAAGUGGCUUGUUUCACUACUGGCUGGUUCCAGUUCAAUCCCACUGCUCUGCAGUGAACUGCGCUCCGGGCAAAUGCAUUCUCUAUCAUAGUCAGGGGUUGAAUAAAAGACCUUUUGAGUGAAAUUUGGUUAAUAAAAACUGUGUGGAGGCCCAUCUGAAAGACUGUUCCCAUACAUGAGGGACAAAUUGAUCCAACCCUUGGGUGCUUUUAGCAGGAUCCACUCUGGUGGAGUUUGGUUUCUGGUCUGAGGAUAAAUUGUACCUUCUAGAUUCUGAGACACCUUGAAAAUGGUAAUGGGCUCUGCUCUUUCUCCACCGACUGAGCCAUUAUAUGUAUACUCUAUGUGUGCAUAUGUAUACAUACAUACAUGUGUGUGUGUAUAUAUAUAUGUAUAUAUGUAUGUAUGUAUGUAUGUAUAUAUAUAUAUAUACACACACACAUACAUAUACACACAAAAAACACAUACAUAAAUACAUACAUACAUAUAUAUAUAUAUUCUUUUAUUCUUUUAUAAAAUGAAUUUAUAAAGAACACACACACAUACACACAUGUACACAUGCACACAUGUAUACAUGCACACACACACAUAUAUAUAUAAAAAAAUACAUACAUACAUACAUACAUACAUACAUACAUACAUACAUACAUACAUACAUAUAUAUAUAUAUAUAUAUCAUGAAUGUGUGUAUAAACGUAUCCAUACUUAUGACCUCAUGUAUGAUUGUAUGCAUUUGUUUAUAUUUAAACACACACACACACACACACACAUAUACAUACAUUCUUACACUCUCACACUUACAUACCCACACACAGCUGAGAGCAGUGCACCAGAUAUAAUAUACUGUGAUAUAUAACGAAGUGAAUUAGCGAGGACCAGAUAAUGGGUGUCAUUGUAACAGUUUUUAUCUUCAGCAUCAUCAUCAUUGCUGAAACCUAAUAAUUAUUGCCAAAGAUGAAAGCCAACAAAAGACUGAGUAACGAAUAAUAAUUAGUAGAUUAAAAAUACAAAAUAUGCUGUAACUACUUAGUAUUAUUGCUGAAAGAAAAGUCAUUUGGUUAGGUUUGUUAGAUGUCGUGAAUGCAGAAUAAUGUGAGGCCUUUCGAUAAAGAAAAAAAAAAGAGGCAAAAUAAUAAUAAUAAUAAUAAUAAUAAUAAUAAUAAUAAUAAUAGUAAUAAUAAUAACGACAAAAUAAAUAAGGCGAGUAACAAAAUGAAAUAGUAAAAAAAAAAAGUUUAUCAUGAAAACAAACUGUAACCUAGAUAUUGAUUAAAAUAUUGAUUAAUAUAAUCCACUUUUGAAAUGAUGGUCAUGUGACUUGACUUAUUGGUGUGUGAAAAGAAGGUUAUAUAAACCACGAUAAUUGUGUUGUUUUUUUUUUUGUCAUAUAUAUAUAUAUAUAUAUUGCUUCUUCUCACAUUUGUCUUUAUAUUCUGUGUGUGUGCAUGUGUGUGUAUAUGUGUGUGUAUG
rnacentral:lncRNA from 1 species